GACGAACGCUGGCGGCGCGCCUAACACAUGCAAGUCGAACGAGCGAGAGAGAGCUUGCUUUCUCGAGCGAGUGGCGAACGGGUGAGUAACGCGUGAGGAACCUGCCUCAAAGAGGGGGACAACAGUUGGAAACGACUGCUAAUACCGCAUAAGCCCACGGUGCCGCAUGGCACAGAGGGAAAAGGAGCAAUCCGCUUUGAGAUGGCCUCGCGUCCGAUUAGCUAGUUGGUGAGGUAACGGCCCACCAAGGCAACGAUCGGUAGCCGGACUGAGAGGUUGAACGGCCACAUUGGGACUGAGACACGGCCCAGACUCCUACGGGAGGCAGCAGUGGGGAAUAUUGCACAAUGGGGGAAACCCUGAUGCAGCGACGCCGCGUGGAGGAAGAAGGUCUUCGGAUUGUAAACUCCUGUUGUUGGGGAAGAUAAUGACGGUACCCAACAAGGAAGUGACGGCUAACUACGUGCCAGCAGCCGCGGUAAAACGUAGGUCACAAGCGUUGUCCGGAAUUACUGGGUGUAAAGGGAGCGCAGGCGGGAAGACAAGUUGGAAGUGAAAUCUAUGGGCUCAAACCCAUAAACUGCUUUCAAAACUGUUUUUCUUGAGUAGUGCAGAGGUAGGCGGAAUUCCCGGUGUAGCGGUGGAAUGCGUAGAUAUCGGGAGGAACACCAGUGGCGAAGGCGGCCUACUGGGCACCAACUGACGCUGAGGCUCGAAAGUGUGGGUAGCAAACAGGAUUAGAUACCCUGGUAGUCCACACCGUAAACGAUGAUUACUAGGUGUUGGAGGAUUGACCCCUUCAGUGCCGCAGUUAACACAAUAAGUAAUCCACCUGGGGAGUACGACCGCAAGGUUGAAACUCAAAGGAAUUGACGGGGGCCCGCACAAGCAGUGGAGUAUGUGGUUUAAUUCGACGCAACGCGAAGAACCUUACCAAGUCUUGACAUCCUGCGACGGUGCUGGAAACAGUACUUUCCUUCGGGACGCAGAGACAGGUGGUGCAUGGUUGUCGUCAGCUCGUGUCGUGAGAUGUUGGGUUAAGUCCCGCAACGAGCGCAACCCUUAUGGUCAGUUACUACGCAAGAGGACUCUGGCCAGACUGCCGUUGACAAAACGGAGGAAGGUGGGGAUGACGUCAAAUCAUCAUGCCCUUUAUGACUUGGGCUACACACGUACUACAAUGGCGUUAAACAAAGAGAAGCAAGACCGCGAGGUGGAGCAAAACUCAGAAACAACGUCCCAGUUCGGACUGCAGGCUGCAACUCGCCUGCUACGAAGUUCGGAAUUGCUAGUAAUUCGUGGAAUCAGCAUGCCACGGUGAAUACGUUUCCCGGGCCU
rnacentral:rRNA from 1 species